rnacentral:rRNA from 1 species
UACGAAGGUCCCAAGCGUUAUCCGGAUUUAUUGGGUUUAAAGGGUGCGUAGGCGGGUUAUUAAGUCAGUGGUGAAAGCUCCAUGCCUAACAUGGAAAUUGCCAUUGAUACUGAUGAUCUUGAGUACAUUUGAAGUGGGCGGAAUGUGUCAUGUAGCGGUGAAAUGCUUAGAUAUGACACAGAACACCGAUUGCGUAGGCAGCUCACUAAACUGUAACUGACGCUGAGGCACGAAAGCAUGGGGAGCAAACAGG